rnacentral:rRNA from 1 species
UAACGCGAAGAACCUUACCUGGGUUUGACAUGCACGUGAAACCCCUGUGAAAGCAGGGGCCUCCUUCGGGACACGUGCACAGGUGCUGCAUGGCUGUCGUCAGCUCGUGUCGUGAGAUGUUGGGUUAAGUCCCGCAACGAGCGCAACCCUUGCCCCGUGUUACUAACAGGUCAAGCUGAGGACUCUCGGGGGACUGCCGGCGUCAAGCCGGAGGAAGGUGGGGACGACGUCAAGUCAUCAUGGCCCUUACGCCCAGGGCUACACACGUGCUACAAUGGCCAGGACAGUGGGCUGCGAGACCGCAAGGUGGAGCGAAUCCCAGAAACCUGGCCCAAGUUCGGAUUGCGGGCUGCAACUCGCCCGCAUGAAGCCGGAAUCGCUAGUAAUCGC